UGAAUUUCUAUCAUUUGCAACCUGUCACUGUAAGGCACAAACAUGAUCACGCAAGAUGCGAUAGUAGAUUUAAGCCAGUUGUUUUUAAGUUUGUGUUUAAGGAGAAACUAACAAUGAAAACGCACUCGUUGACGGAGGAAAAGUUGGAAUGCAGCCUCUGGUGCUGUUUGAGCGAUCCCUCUCCCCGGGGCCUGGCCGCGCACUGCUGUGUUCUGGAAGGGCUCAUUGUACAGUCAAGGCGGCAGCCCAUUGUUCCUGCCUCUCCAUUGUGUACCUGGGCCCUGCCCUUCAUCUCGGGCGUCCGGCCUGGAGCAAACUGCACCGUGACGCCACUAACUUCCACUAACUGGAAUCUGCCUUUCCCUCCCCGCUGUCUUUCCUUCCCAUCUCUACCGCCAAUUAAAUCCCCAAACUUUGCUGAUUAGCCAUUGAAACAAUCCUUUUAAUCCGUCCAUUUUUUCACUUUCAUUUUUUCAUUGCUAACUCUCUAUGUGAAGCCACCUCACCUUUUUCUCAGAAUGUCAGCUAUAAUGGCCUAGCUGAUCUCCCAGUCAUUCCAGGCUUGCAUCUGCCCAAACUACCUUCCACUCUACCCCGUGCUGUUUUCUAAAUGACAAAUUUUAUCCUGUUGCUUCCCAACUUCAAACUCCUCAAUGACCUGAAAAUGCCUUCAGCAUAUAGCGGAACAUGAUAUGC
rnacentral:lncRNA from 1 species